rnacentral:rRNA from 1 species
UACGGGGGGAGCAAGCGUUGUUCGGAUUUACUGGGCGUAAAGGGCGCGUAGGCGGCCUGUGCAAGUCAGUUGUGAAAUCUCCGGGCUUAACUCGGAACGGUCAACUGAUACUGCUCGGCUAGAGUGCAGAAGGGGCAACUGGAAUUCUUGGUGUAGCGGUGAAAUGCGUAGAUAUCAAGAGGAACACCUGCGGCGAAGGCGGGUUGCUGGGCUGACACUGACGCUGAAGCGCGAAAGCUAGGGGAGCGAACGGG